rnacentral:rRNA from 1 species
AUACGGGGGGAGCAAGCGUUGUCCGGAAUCACUGGGCGUAAAGGGCGUGUAGGCGGGCUGAUAAGUCAGAUGUGAAGGCCCACGGCUUAACCGUGGAAUUGCAUUUGAUACUGUCAGUCUUGAGUGCGAGAGAGGGUAGUGGAAUUCCCGGUGUAGCGGUGAAAUGCGUAGAUAUCGGGAAGAACACCAGUAGCGAAGGCGGCUACCUGGCUCGCAACUGACGCUAAGGCGCGAAAACGUGGGGAGCAAACAGGAUUAGAAACCCUAGUAGUCC